UACGGAGGGUGCGAGCGUUGUCCGGAAUCACUGGGCGUAAAGGGCGCGUAGGUGGCGGAGCAAGUCAACGGUGAAAGCUCGACGCUCAACGUCGAGUCGGCCGUCGAUACUGCUUUGCUGGAGCACUGUAGAGGCAGAUGGGAAUUCCGGGUGUAGCGGUGGAAUGCGUAGAGAUCCGGAAGAACACCGGUGGCGAAGGCGGUCUGCUGGGCAGUUGCUGACACUGAGGCGCGACAGCGUGGGGAGCAAACAGG
rnacentral:rRNA from 1 species